rnacentral:rRNA from 1 species
UGAGGAAUCUUCCACAAUGGGCGAAAGCCUGAUGGAGCGACACCGCGUGAAGGAUGAAGCCUUUGUUGGUGUAAACUUCUUUUCUCUCGGAAGAUAAUGACGGUACGAGAGGAAUAAGGGGCGGCAAACUUCGUGCCAGCAGCCGCGGUGAUACGAGGGCCCCAAGCAUUAUCCGGAAUUACUGGGCGUAAAGCGUCUGUAGGUGGUUUUGUAAGUCGCAUAUGAAACUCCAUGGCUCAACCAUGGAUUGUAUGGGAAACUAUAGAACUCGAGUAUGGGAGAGGUAAGCGGAACGGUAUGAGUAGGGGUGCAAUCCGUUGAUACAUACCAGAACACCAAAAGCGAAGGCAGCUUACUGGAACAUUACUGACACUGAGAGACGAAAGUGUGGGGAGCAAAAGGG